ACGAACGCUGGCGGCGUGCCUAACACAUGCAAGUCGAACGGAACUGUUUUGAAAGAUUUCUUCGGAAUGAAUUUGAUUUAGUUUAGUGGCGGACGGGUGAGUAACGCGUGAGUAACCUGCCUUCAAGAGGGGGAUAACAUUCUGAAAAGGAUGCUAAUACCGCAUGACAUAUCGGAACCACAUGGUUUUGAUAUCAAAGAUUUUAUCGCUUGAAGAUGGACUCGCGUCCGAUUAGUUAGUUGGUGAGGUAACGGCUCACCAAGACCGCGAUCGGUAGCCGGACUGAGAGGUUGAACGGCCACAUUGGGACUGAGACACGGCCCAGACUCCUACGGGAGGCAGCAGUGGGGGAUAUUGCGCAAUGGGGGCAACCCUGACGCAGCAACGCCGCGUGAAGGAUGGAGGUUUUCGGAUUGUAAACUUCUUUUAUUAAGGACGAAAAAUGACGGUACUUAAUGAAUAAGCUCCGGCUAACUACGUGCCAGCAGCCGCGGUAAUACGUAGGGAGCAAGCGUUGUCCGGAUUUACUGGGUGUAAAGGGUGCGUAGGCGGCUUUGCAAGUCAGAUGUGAAAUCUAUGGGCUCAACCCAUAAACUGCAUUUGAAACUGUAGAGCUUGAGUGAAGUAGAGGCAGGCGGAAUUCCCCGUGUAGCGGUGAAAUGCGUAGAGAUGGGGAGGAACACCAGUGGCGAAGGCGGCCUGCUGGGCUUUAACUGACGCUGAGGCACGAAAGCGUGGGUAGCAAACAGG
rnacentral:rRNA from 1 species